UGCAGGACAGCGGCAAUCUGCUGCGGCCGAGGGCGUAACAAUGCGCCCCUUCUGGAGCGCGGGCCCCGCGGGCAAGAGGUUCCCGCUGAUCGCCGGGGCCGCCCCCCGCGCGGCGAGCCUCUCGCGGGCGCUCCCAGCUGCACGUGCUGCCCCGCCGCCGCCCUCGCCAGACAAAGAAGGCCUUCCUGAGCGCCUUUCUUGGUUGCUUCCUCACUGUCAGAGGCCAGAAUGGAGGCGUGGACAGUGGUCUGGUUGGAAUUAGGAGCAGUGUGAGCAGAACUGUGGGGCUUGGCCUCCCUUCCAGUGAAGGAAGGAGCUCUGUUGGAAAUGCAAGAGUCCAAUGAUGGGUGGGGCAUGAACUAAUGGCCCAGUCUUCCUUCAAGAUUCUGCAGUUUUUGAAACACACUGGUGAUCCAGCACGCGACGAAUAGCUCUGACCUUCCCAACGAUUCCUUACAUCUACGAUUUGCCCUUUCAGGAAAGAGUCAGAAGAUCUUCACAAAGGAGGAAGAUGAAGAGGAGGAAGGUACUGCUGAGGGCUAUUGCCGCCCGACCCAGAUUCCCCGAGGAAUCCUAUCAUAUGAAUAAUUAACUAUAGCAAGCCAAGGAACUGAUCUUCAGUGAACAGAGAGUUCAUGAAAAUUUAAAGACUGGCGCUGAAACAGGCCCCGUGCGUUGUUUUCAUGGUGACUUAGAUAUCUUUGAAAACCUAAAGUCUCAAGGUCUGCCCUAGGGUCCUACUGUGACAUUAGCACUGGCUUCCUGAACUCCUGAGUCUCUGGGGGGGUGGGGGGUGGGGUGGGGCUUCUCUGGGAGCUCUGU